UUGACAGCUUGUUGACGGCUCUGCAGAAUUUGGACUCGUGCGCUCCCGCAGUUGCGCCAGCAGGUGGCGCUGCAGACUAAGAAGCCCCCAAAACGAAGGGAAAUGGUGUGAUGCGCCUGGAAGGUUGAUCAGCUGGGAUUCUACAGCAAGGAAGGGAGCAUUCAGAGCAGAGGUAGGAGUCCAGGUGACACGAGCACCUGCCCAUGUCCUACAUAUGCAGAGAUCCAGAGGCUUACUUACGUGCAUAAGCAAGGACCAACGUCGCACCAGAAUGAGGCUUUCCCAGGCAUGAUCCCCUUGAAUCCUCAUUACUGCCCUAAUGGAUGUAUCAACAGGCUACCAUAUUAAAGAGGAGGAAAUGGAGGCACAGAAGGUUAAGCAACUUGCCCAAGGUCGCAAAGCCAGAGCAUGAGAGCUGGGAUUUUAACUCCCAAGAGUGUGAUGUAAACCAGUGCCCUCCCCUGCCUGCUGGCAACAGGGAUACAGGGGCACGUCCUCCUACAAGCCCCCUGCAGUCUCUGGGAAGCCAUGGGGCCACUUCUCCUAUCACAGCUCCACCUACGCAGUGAGGGGCAGGAGCUCUCUGGCUGCUGGGGGAGCUGUAGAGGAGGCAGGAGUAAAGCGGGGAGACCAAUGAGGAGGCUGCAGAGAUGAUCCAGCUCUGGAGACCAGAAGUCCAAAAUCACAUGUCUGCAGGGCCGCAUCCCUCUGAAGGCUCUAGGGGAAAAUCAUUCCUUGGCUCCUUCAGCUCCUGGUGCCUCCAGUCGCUCCUUGGCUGGUGGCUCUGUCCCUCCAAUCUCUGGCUCUUUGGUCACCCCACCUCCUCCUCAGGAUGCUGGUGCAAUCUCCCUUUGCCUCUUGUAUAAGGGACACCUGUAAUGGCAUUUAGGGCUAUCCCAGAUGAUCCAGGGCGAUCUCCUCAUCUCAAAAUCCUCAAUUUAAUCUCAUCUGCAAAGAUCCUUUUUCCAAAUAAGGUAACAUUUGUAAAUCCCGGGAAUUAGGACUUUAUAUCUUUGGGUAGCCAUAUAUAACCCACUAUACCAGGGAUUGGAGGAAAGGGUGCUGACUACAAAGGGCCACGAGGAAACUUUUUCGUGAUGGAAAUGUUCUAUUACAUAUCAGUGUUGGUUGUGGUUACAUGGUUUAUACAUUUGUCAAAACUCAUGGAACUAUACCCUAAAAGGGGUGACUUUUACAAUAUGUAAGCCAGAUGUUUCAUAAAAAGAAAAAAUAAUAACUAUAUGAUGUAGGUACUAUAAUUUUACAGAUGGGGAAACUGAGG